AACGAACGCUGGCGGCGUGCUUAACACAUGCAAGUCGAACGAGAAAGUGGGCUUCGGCCCGCGAGUAGAGUGGCAGACGGGUGAGUAACACGUGGAUAACCUGCCCGGAGGUGGGGAAUAACUCUUCGAAAGGGGAGCUAAUACCGCAUGAUAUCUCGAGGGCUCGCCUUUGAGAUCAAAGCUAGCCUCUUCUUGAAAGCUAGCGCCACCGGAGGGGUCCGCGGCCCAUUAGCUUGUUGGUGAGGUAACGGCUCACCAAGGCGACGAUGGGUAGCCGGCCUGAGAGGGUGAACGGCCACACUGGAACUGGGACACGGUCCAGACUCCUACGGGAGGCAGCAGUGAGGAAUCUUGCGCAAUGGGGGAAACCCUGACGCAGCGACGCCGCGUGGAGGACGAAGGCCUUCGGGUCGUAAACUCCUGUCAAGCGGGACGAAUGCCGUGGAGAUGAAUAAGCUCUGCGGUUGACGGUACCGCUGAAGGAAGCCCCGGCUAACUCCGUG
rnacentral:rRNA from 1 species